rnacentral:rRNA from 1 species
UACGAAGGGGGCUAGCGUUGUUCGGAUUUACUGGGCGUAAAGCGCACGUAGGCGGAUCGUUAAGUCGGGGGUGAAAUCCUGGAGCUCAACUCCAGAACUGCCUUCGAUACUGGCGAUCUAGAGUCCGGGAAGAGGUGAGUGGAACUCCUAGUGUAGAGGUGGAAUUCGUAGAUAUUAGGAAGAACACCAGUGGCGAAGGCGGCUCACUGGUCCGGUACUGACGCUGAGGUGCGAAAGCGUGGGGAGCAAACAGG